rnacentral:lncRNA from 1 species
CAUAAUAAUAGUAUGGAAUCUUGGCAAAAAAGGAGCUCUCAGAACAGCAAUAGACUUUCAAGAGGAGGAACUCACAUUUCUGCAAAAGAAAGAGGCCAUAAAUGAAAAGCAGCUUGGAGAGAAUGAGCCCACAUGCAUGAGACACAGCACACGACUCAUACCCUUCUUCCUCAAGUUUCUCUAACAUGUGUGGCUCUUGGAAACAGACAUGUAAUGGCUGAGUUAUUUUUUGUGCAAAUAAGUUGUGGUGUUCUAUCAGUGCCAUUGAAGUGUGGCGCGGAAGAACAGGCUCCUGUCGGUACAUUCCCCUGCCCCUGCGCUUGUUCAUAGUUCUCACAUGUGAGGGGAAAGGAGAAGGCUUGGGGUUUGCAUCUGAUUUACCAACUGUUCCUCAGGACACAUCUGCCUCUCCAGGACCUCAGAUUCCUGACAACACUGUUGGCUUCCCGGAGACUCCUUCAUCCUGCAGAAGAUGCAAUUCCACGGGGUCCUGAGAGAUUGGACAUGGGUCAGUAGAGGGCAGGGACCUUGGAAAUGGCCACCAUUCCUGUGGCUGCCACUGUCUUCCUUCAGGAAUGGCUGAUGGGCUCAGUCAUGGGAGGGAGGGGAACACCUCCCAGAGUAUCCAAGAACUGCAUAUGAGGUCUCCAGCCACUGGCCUUUCCCUCGCAUCAGUGGUAGCAGCAGGAGGGAAGCCUCAGGAAGGUGGUGUCACCGUGAGUGGGGACUAUCCUUUCCCUGUCUGAGCUGCUGGGAGCACAAGGAGUCCUGCCUGCCAGGCCUGAGUGUCAGAAACUGGGCUUUCAACUCCAGGGACGUCAGGCCUCCAUCCGCCUGAGACCAUGCUUCCUGUCUUGUAUGAAUAAGUACAAAAUAUAAACUGGUGUUUUUUUUCCUCAACCCCCUGGGACAGGAGACCCUACUGCAAAACUUCAAGGAAAGGACAAUACCAGUAUGUAGGCAAAGGUCCCCAGCACUGGCCUCAGCAUAUCAGAGGAGGUGUCCCUGAGAGCACAGAGAGCAUUUACCUCCUGCUGCCAGCGUCUCCCACUGCUCUCUGGAUCACACUGCUGGGUCCCAGUACCCGAUGAACCUGCUCCUUCCCCAUCUAGACACAAGCAGACAUUCUGCUCGAGAGUGCGCAUGGCAGGUGGAAGGUCCCUUAAAGGAUGAAAGAGAGGUGCCUGCAUGUCACUUACCUCUCAGCUUCCACAGGUGGGAUGUGACAGUCCUCAUGGAAGACUCUUGAACAAGUGUCGCAACAGAACAGCUCCCCUCCAUCCCGGCACACCUCACACUCAUCCAAGUUUCUCAUCUAGAAGACAUCUGGCUGUGGGCUGUGAGACAUAAACCUCCAUGUCAAGCUCAUACAAAAUCAGCCACGCAAACACUGACCUCCAGGGCUGUUUUAACCAUUCGUGAGUCCCUGAGUUGGCCGGGCAUCAAAAUCAGUGUGGAUAAGAACUAAAUCUUGUUGGAGGAUUGCUUUGGAGGGUUUCACUCUGUCACCCAGGCUGGAAUGCCAUGAUAAAAUCACAGCUCACUAUAGCCUCGACCUCCCAGGCUUGAGUGAUCCUCCCACCUCAGCCUCCUGAGUAGGUGGGACUACAG